rnacentral:ncRNA from 1 species
GCUGAUAAAAUCAGCCGUCGCCGGUGCUGUGGAAUUAAGCCACAGGUUGCGAGAUAGUGAAAAUCCCCGGGG